CCUACGGGAGGCAGCAGUGAGGAAUAUUGGUCAAUGGCCGGGAGGCUGAACCAGCCAAGUCGCGUGAGGGAAGACGGCCCUACGGGUUGUAAACCUCAUUUGUCAGGGAGCAAGGUGCAGGUCGGGACCUGGUGGGAGAGUACCUGAAGAAAAAGCAUCGGCUGACUACGUGCCAGCAGCAGCGGUAAUUCGGAGGAGGCGAGCGUUAUCCGGAUUUAUUGGGUUUAAAGGGGGGGCAGGCGGAGGCACAAGUCAGCGGUAAAAUCGCGGGGCUAAACACCGCUCCGCCGUUGAAACUGUGUCCCUAGAGUGCUCGACGGGUAGGCGGAAUGCGUGGUGUAGCGGUGAAAUGCAUAGAUAUCACGCAGAACUCCGAUCGCGAAGGCAGCCUACCGGCGCGCAACUGACGCUCAUGCACGAAAGCGUGGGUAUCGAACAGGAUUAGAUACCCUUGUAGUC
rnacentral:rRNA from 1 species